rnacentral:lncRNA from 1 species
UUUCCUUGAAGGGGUCAAGGGGACGUGGACGUGAAACCUCUCCCUUCACAACCACGGUGGUAGCAAAGGGUCUCACAGUCGGGGGUGACUUGGGAGGAGACACAGGCGGUGGUGUAACAGGCAGAGGUGACUGUAGCUGCUGAAAGGAGAAGUGCCACAGAAGCUUCGCGAGAAGCGGCAUCCCCAGAUCGUCACUCAGAAAAUGGCCGGAAAGUCCCCAGCGGACCUUCCAUCAUCAGACCACCCCGAGACAAUUGCUAUGAAGGCUGAAGCAAGCAUGAACUAUCACAUCUGUGUAGACGAAAUCUACACCAGGGAACAGAAGGUGGACCAUGCGUACAGGUUCGGUAUGCUGGUGUGCGAAAAGACCAUCCACUACACCGAGCGGGAGAAGGCACACAUAAAACAAGUGGAAUUCCUUCGGAGGGAGGUUGAAAGACGUGGCAAAAUUAUCCACCGAUUGGAACUGGACCUGGCGGCAUCCGAGGCCAGCUUGUCUGCCUCGCAGACAAAUCUGGACGCCACCCAAAAUGGUAAAAAAAAAAAUGCAGAUUAA